UACGUAGGGUGCAAGCGUUGUCCGGAAUUAUUGGGCGUAAAGAGCUUGUAGGCGGUUUGUCGCGUCUGCUGUGAAAUUUCGGGGCUCAACCCCGAACUUGCAGUGGGUACGGGCAGACUAGAGUGUGGUAGGGGGAGACUGGAAUUCCUGGUGUAGCGGUGAAAUGCGCAGAUAUCAGGAGGAACACCGAUGGCGAAGGCAGGUCUCUGGGCCGAUAACUGACGCUGAGAAGCGAAAGCAUGGGGAGCGAACAGG
rnacentral:rRNA from 1 species